AAGUCGUAACAAGGUAACCGUAGGUGAACCUGCGGUUGGAUCAUUAAUAUACAAUCUGUUUGUGUUCUGACCCCGUCCGCGGGGGCUGAACCAAUCACACCCUUGUGAACCAUUGAAAUGUAUAUUGGCGCGUCUUGUGGUUGUACUUUGAGCCUCACGGCAAGAUUUACACUGAAACAUUGCUUUGGUCUUUAUAAGAUCAUUCACAAAACUCUCUGAACUGGGAGUCUAGUUAAUGCCUGGCUAGGCGGGCAAAGCAUCAUACCUCAGCAGGAAUUAUCCUGAGCCAUUUGACGCGUCACCUAGAUGUCGCGAUGAAACAACAUGUUUUAAUUUAUACCGCUGAAUGAAAUCGUAUGGAAAUAAAUGAGAAACAACUUUAGACAACGGAUCUCUUGGCUCUC
rnacentral:misc_RNA from 1 species